rnacentral:rRNA from 1 species
GCAAGUCGUACGAGAGUUUUUAAUUCAAGUGGCGGACGGGUGAGUAACACGUAAGAAUUUGCAUAUAGGAGGGGGACAAUAACUGGAAACGGUUGCUAAUACCCCAUAUGAUCUCGUGCGAAAUGGAUUUUACCGCCUAGAGAGAAGCUUGUGGCGGAUUAGCUAGUUGGUGAGGUAAUGGCUUACCAAGGCGACGAUCAGUAUCUGGUUUGAGAGGACGAUC